rnacentral:rRNA from 1 species
UACGUAGGUGACAAGCGUUGUCCGGAUUUACUGGGCGUAAAGAGCGCGCAGGCGGUCGAUCAAGUCGAGUGUGAAAGCCCCGGGCUCAACCUGGGAAUGGCGAUGGAUACUGGCGGGCUAGAGUGCGGUAGAGGAGAGUGGAAUUCCCGGUGUAGCAGUGAAAUGCGUAGAGAUCGGGAGGAACAUCAGUUGCGAAGGCGGCUCUCUGGACCAGCACUGACACUGAGGCACGAAAGCGUGGGGAGCAAACAGG